GAUGAACGCUGGCGGCGUGCCUAAUACAUGCAGGUCGAGCGAACGGACGAGAAGCUUGCUUCUCUGAUGUUAGCGGCGGACGGGUGAGUAACACGUGGAUAACCUACCUAUAAGACUGGGAUAACUUCGGGAAACCGGAGCUAAUACCGGAUAAUAUUUUGAACCGCAUGGUUCAAAAGUGAAAGACGGUCUUGCUGUCACUUAUAGAUGGAUCCGCGCUGCAUUAGCUAGUUGGUAAGGUAACGGCUUACCAAGGCAACGAUGCAUAGCCGACCUGAGAGGGUGAUCGGCCACACGGGAACUGAGACACGGUCCAGACUCCUACGGGAGGCAGCAGUAGGGAAUCUUCCGCAAUGGGCGAAAGCCUGACGGAGCAACGCCGCGUGAGUGAUGAAGGUCUUCGGAUCGUAAAACUCUGUUAUUAGGGAAGAACAUAUGUGUAAGUAACUGUGCACAUCUUGACGGUACCUAAUCAGAAAGCCACGGCUAACUACGUG
rnacentral:rRNA from 1 species